ACGCACCGCAUUACUGAACACGCGCGUCUUACUCUAUCUGUGCGUCUGUCUGUGUGUGCAUGUCAGGAAGUUGACAGUCCGUCGCACCUGUUCCCCUUCUCCCCUCCCGCGCCAUCUGCACAGCCUUGAAUGCUUUUCCACCACGUAUAAGGUUACUUGGUCGCCUUUAUAAAGCAUUUUUCAAUUUUUGAGUGAUGAGUGGCCCGAUCGCUGAGAAUGCAGACAUGAUUGUGCCUUCAGCUGACACAUGCUGCCCCAACGCCCGUUUUCGAGCGGGCACUGCGGUGCGCCUGCAUUGCGAUGCGGGUCGGCGACGACCCGGGGUACAUCUGGACACCGCAGCGGCUCGGCGCUGGCUCGUUCGGCACAGUGACGCUUGCAUACCGUCACGAGGGCGACGCUGUGUGGCGCAAGACCGCGGUGAAGCGCAUAUCGCUGCGCAAAGAAAUGCGCCUCUCAGCCGUGCUGGAGAAGGUGCGGUGCGCUGGGCGCGAGGUGGCCCUGUGCCGUCGCGCUGGGGUGUCGCCGCACGUUGUGCCGAUGUACGAGCCAUGGUUCGACUGCCGGGAGGGCGUGAUCGCGCUGCCGAUGGACGCCGGUGACUUCAGCCUGGAGCAGUACGCGGUGCACUGCGGCUUUCGGUUCCCGCCGCUGGUGCUGCUGUCGAUGUGCGCGCAGUGCGCGCGUGCUGUGGCGCAUCUGCAUCGGCGCGGCGUUGUGCACCGUGACGUGAAGCCAGACAACUUCGUGGUGAAUGUUUUCGACACUGCUGGUGGUGCUGGUGCUGGCGGUGAUGGUGGCCGCCGUGACGCGCGGGCACCGCUCGUGCGCAUACUUGACUUUGGGCUCGCGUGCGGCGUGGAGGAGGUCGGGCAGGAGUUGAAGCGUUGCGUGGGGACACCGCACUACAUGGCACCGGAGACGCUUUCGCACCUCUGCGACUGCGACGUGCCUGCGGCGUGCGACGUGUGGAGCCUCGGGGUGACCUUGUUCCGAUUGGCCACUGGCGUCUUCCCGGUCUUUGACCAGGACUUGACGGCGUCGUGGCUUCCCGCAAAUGCCUCCUCGGCUUGCUUGGGUGUGCCCCACCUGCGAUCACCGUGGCCACGAGUUCUCGAGCGGUGCCCCGCGCCCUGGUGACUGUGGCCGGAUUGAUGCUUGCCAUGAACCCACGCCGUCGCCCAACCAUGGCAAGCGUUCUACUGCAGCUGCAGGGCAUCGGAGAGGCUCCAGAGUCGGCGCUGCCGAGCGUCUCGUCCCGCAUCCUCCAAAUGCGUGCGUGUCGCCCGGAUGUGAUGGUUGCCAUGUACGCCGUUCCGCAUGCCGCUGUGGGGCAGGCAGUCCGGUGGCACCUCCGACCUGGCGACACCUUCCUGGUAAAGGGGGAGUGGGAGAUGUGGAUGAAAAAGCUGUACGCGCGUGCCCUCACUGCACAGGACCGAGCGGUGCCGAGCUUGAAUACCGUCACCACAGUAGCGCCGCGACCGUGUACCGCCGACACCGAGACUGCGCGCACAGGUGUGCCCCGUCGCUGCCCGCGUUAGGCUUUUGGUUGCGCGUGGCGCACCCGCGCAAAGGACGCUGCCGUGACGUUAUCGAAGGCCAGCACGUCGUGCACGUUGCGGCGCGUCUUGGAAGCGAGGAGGCACGCAUGCGAUGCUCUCCAUUGCGUCCUCUGCUCUACGGUGCGGAGCUCUCGCAGGUUGUGGCGCCGAAACAGCCGUCAUUGCGCUCGCGAUGGACACCGUCAACGACUCCCCUCUACAUCGACGCUUCGGUGGGAAUGCCCGUGGCGCAUAAAAAAUGGCCGCUUGGCUUCUUGCGUGCUUCGAGAGAAGUCUCCGUCGCCGCUGCGUGGGGUGUGCCGUUGCAGCAGCAGCAGCAGCAGCAGCAGCAAAGACCACCCCGAUGAGGUAAGCAAGGCGGAGCAGCCGACGGGUCGGGGUAGCGCCGCGGAAAAAAGAAGCGUGAAAGGGCGGCUAUCUCUGUUCGUGCGCUUCCGCACGUCGAACAAGGGCCGCUCGUGCACUGUGAGGCCUUUGCAACUCCUCACACAGAUAUGCGUCUGCGUCGGCGCCACUUUUAUUCGUUUGUUUUCGUGCGCUUUUCUCUUGUUUCACUGCAUAUUCUCUGCGGCACGCUGCCCGCUGGCGCAUUCACCGCUUCUCCCGCACCCCCUCCCUUCUCCAUUCUUUCUCGGUCUACUGUCUUGUGACGCGUGUCUUUCUGCCUCUCUUUUUUCUCGCUCGCUGGUCUGUGCAACGGAGUAAAGUUGACGUACAGCUGCGUAUGUGCAUGUCUGUGUAGGUUUGUGUGCACGUGCGCUUGCGUGGCUUUGCCCCCUGUGCUGUACAUCGCCAUCCCCAGAACAGGGAACAUGCGACAAAAGAGGGAAGAGGAACGGCUGCUGACAUCGUCGUGCCAUGAGGGUGUGCUCGCGUGAUCGGUGAGCUGAAAGUCCGCUCAUGGCACUGAUAGAUGAAGGUGCACGGUUGAGAAGGGCAUCACGUAGAGACGUGCCUUCACCUGGUGUGUGCGGGCUGGUCUCUCUGCGCAUCCGCGGCUUGUGCGUGUGUGCCCGUAUGCACACGACCGUGCUCUGACUUUCUUACUUCCUUUUUACACCACACACACACACACACACACACACAUGCAUGCAUGUGCGUGCGGAGGCAUCUGCUCGCGCUGAGCAACAACCCCUGCUUAUCCCGCUUCCUGUGCGCCGCUGAGCAGGCCUCUGGCAUC
rnacentral:misc_RNA from 1 species